UUUCACAUAUCUACUAGCUCCAAGAGAUAUAUAUAAAGCUCUUUUCAAAUUUGUAUUUCCAAGAUAUUUAACUGGUAGAUUAUAUUCACAUAUCUCGCUCCAAUAGAGUUAACUAAAGCAUUUAUUCACAUAUCUAGCUCCAAGAGAGUUCACUGAAGCUUUUAUUCACAUAUCUAGCUCCAAUAUACUUAACUGGUAGAUUAUAUUCACAUAUCUAGCUCUAGGAGAGCUCACUAAAGAUUUUAUUCACUUAUCUAGCUCCAAGAGAGUUAACUAAAGCUUUUAUUCACAUUUCUAGCUCCAAACAAGUCAACUUAAGCGUUUAUUUAAAUUUGUAUUUCCAAGAUACUUUACUGGUAGAUUAUAUUCACAUUUCUAGCUCCAAGAGAGUUCACUAAAGCUUUUAUUCACAUUUCUAGCUUCAAGAGAGUGAACUAAGGCUUUUAUUCACAUAUCUAGCUCCAAAAGAAUCGCCAUCAAAUUAUUCACAUUAACACAAAAAGAGUUAAGCAAUGGAUAUUAUCCAUCCUGCGUAAGAGGGAGUUUAAUUCAGCUCCAAACUCAGCAUGAUCAGGCAGCUGUAUGUUCAUCUUGCCAAAUCUGCUGAAUAUGUUCAAAAUAUGCAUAUAUAUUCAUAUCAACUAUAUCAUAUCACAUGAUCUUGCACAAGCACUUUUGAGAUGUACCAUCCCAGUACAUCAUGGAAGAGAGUGACCAGAUGUAUUUUGCCCAAGUCAUUUUGUAAAAACUUUUUAGAUUUGUGGAAGGAUUAUGGAAUUAUUAUCUACUGGUAAUUAAGUUGCUUUGUGUUUACAUAAGUCCGUUUUCUGUAAAGACAACAGCUGUAAGACUUUACUUCACCCUCUUUGUCAUGCUUUUUUCAAACUUUGUCCCAACAACGGUUAUGCUUAUUUCAACAGUGUUGAGGAUGUAUGCAUACAGUGAAGUAGAGAGCUAGACUCACCCUCUCCUGUUGUAUACAUACAGUGAAGUAGAGAGCUAGACUCACCCUCUCCUGUUGUAUACAUACAGUGAAGUAGAGAGCUAGACUCACCCUCUCCUGUUGUAUACAUACAGUGAAGUAGAGAGCUAGACUCACCCUCUCCUGUUGUACACAUACAGUGAAGUAGAGAGCUAGACUCACCCUUUCCUGUUGUACACAUACAGUGAAGUACAGAGCUAGACUCAUCCUUUCCUGUUGUAUGCAUACAGUGAAGUAGAGAGCUAGACUCACCCUCUCCUGUUGUAUACAUACAGUGAAGUAGAGAGCUAGACUCACCCUCUCCUGUUGUAUACAUACAGUGAAGUAGAGAGCUAGACUCACCCUCUCCUGUUGUAUACAUACAGUGAAGUAGAGAGCUAGACUCACCCUCUCCUGUUGUACACAUACAGUGAAGUAGAGAGCUAGACUCACCCUCUCCUGUUGUACACAUACAGUGAAGUAGAGAGCUAGACUCACCCUAUUCUGUUGUACACAUACAGUGAAGUAGAGCGCUAGACUCACCCUCUCUUGUUGUACACAUACAGUGAAGUAGAGCGCUAGACUCACCCUCUCUUGUUGUAUACAUACAGUGAAGUAGAGAGCUAGACUCACCCUCUCCUGUUGUAUACAUACAGUGAAGUAGAGCGCUAGACUCACCCUUUCCUGUUGUACACAUACAGAGACGUAGAGAGCUAGACUCACCCUUUCCUGUUGUACACAUACAGUGAAGUAGAGAGCUAGACUCACCCUCUCCUGUUGCAUACAUACAGUGAAGUAGAGAGCUAGACUCACCCUAUCCUGUUGUAUACAUACAGUGAAGUAGAGAGCUAGACUCACUCUCUCCUGUUGCAUACAUACAGUUAAGUACAGAGCAAGACUCACCCUCUCCUGUUGCAUACAUACAGUUAAGUACAGAGCAAGACUCACCCUCUCCUGUUGUAUACAUGCAGUGCAGUCGAGAUCUUGAUGGCAUUCAUUAUGUCAUUACUGACUGCUAACCGGACACAUGAAUGUGUUAGGUGUUUAACAUUUUAAUGUACCGAUCAUGUUGAAACUAUGCCACAAUGUGAGCAGACAAAAUGACUUGAUAUUUAGUAUGGUAGAACUCUUUUCAUGUUGAUAUAUUUUUAUAAAUUGUAAGCUUUUAUUUUAAGAACAGUUUGUUUUUAUGUUUGAUAAACAUACAUCAUUGAUUCUUCUUAAAAUUUGAUUUUUUUAUGUCAUUAUUUGAAAUAUUUUACCUUUCUUACAAACUUUAUCAGAUUUGGACUGACAUCCAAAGAAAAGAAUGUUUUAUUGUCAGUCACAUCCUGGGUCUCUUCAUAAUCAGUAGCUUCUCAUUUAACAUUCCGUCCUUUUCAUCAAUGACAAAAAUACUUACAUAGGAAAAUGCAAAUUACAGCUUUAGAAAUAUCAUUUUAGCCUUUUUUAUUGGUACACUUUGAUCCAUUGAUUUACUUGCUGUUUCGUGGUACGUUCUAUCAUUGUUAACACAACAUGACAUAAAGGGAGAUAAGCAGGUUUGCCAGGUUGCAGAGCCUUGCUGUUUGAAAGGAGGUUUCAUUAAUGAUUUGAUUUUUUUUAAUCAAUAUAUCAAUUCAGAAGUAUCGGGAUAGCACCAUAUAUAUUGAUUAAUAGUAGUAUUUUCUCUGUAUGUGUAUAUAUUUAAUUGAGCAAUGACCUGCAGCUAACUUGACUGAUCCAUUUAAGGCUUGUAUUUAAUUUCUGCCUUCUCACUGUCCAUCUUUAACACAAUGAUCUUACAAAAAUGUAAAUGAUUCUGUUAGUGAAUUAUUUAUUUAGUACUUAACAUCAUAAAUUUGUAUUGAUAAAUAUCAACAAUACAAAUGUAUUACGAUAUAUGCUUACAUGCUUAAUUGAACAACUGUUCUGUGUCAGUGUAAGGCACCCAUGGUUGUAUCAGUGUAGAUAACAAGUGGAUCAGGGUGCCGUUGUACAAAACAACCUUAGCGCUAACACUACCUUAAGUCUAUGUUAAGGUUUGGGAGUUACAGUCACCUUAAUGCUAAGAUUGCUUUGUACAACGGACUCCAGAUGGAAAACUUCUCCACACAUGAAGGGGCAGUGGAUAGCCUUGUGGUUUGAUUCCCAACAUGGGUACAAUGUGUGAAGCCCAUUUCUGGUGUUCACCACCAUGAUAAUGCUGGAAUAUUGCUAAAAGCGGCGUAAAACUAAUCUCACUCACUCCCAAUACAUGAAUGAGCUCAAACUGUGGUCUUGUACAUUUAACUUGCAGCAGGCACACCUAUAUGUUAUACUGCAUGUACAUAUACCUCAUGUUUGAUUUGUAAAUAAUUCAUCUUUUCAUAAUGAUCUAAAGAUUGUUUACAUUUGUGUUGAUUUAUAUUGUAGUUCAUUGAUGUCUCUGGUAGACUUAUACUGUCUUGUAUUGAUAGUACAUGCAUAUCCGUGUCAUAUCGGGUCAGCAGAUCGGGUUGGACCAAUCAUGGCAAUCUGUUAGCAUACAGUUUACUGUCAUGUGUUCAUAUACAUGUAUUUUAGUCAAGAAUCUCUCAGCCACCAGCCACACAGCCAUAGGAAUUCAUAUUUAUCAAAGGCUAGUUCGGGGGACUUAUUUCAAGUGUUCUCAGAUUCGGUUGAAGCUGGUCUGCCCAUAGACAGAAGUGGUUACUGUGUUUACAUUGUCUGUGAGUUAUAGUCAGUUUCAGUUUGUAGCAAACAUGAAGCAUUGAGAACUAGUUUGGAAUUAUAGCGCUCAAAUGUAACUGGUGAAUUAGGACUACCAUCGUUCCAUUUUUUUAGUCCACAGCACAAUUAAGUGGUCUCAGGCUUGGAGAUUAGCAUGAACUUCGAAGGCACAAUUAAGUCAAGGAAUCCUAAACUUAACAUUAAGAAAUAUAGAUUCAAGUUGUGUCUAGAUAAAUGAUCACCUGUAUUGCUAAUACUGAAAUCAUGUGUGGUAUUCCUUCAAAAAGACUAUUUCCUCUCAUACAUCUGAAUUUCAGAUGGAUGUGAAAUUCAACUUCAAGUGUCACCCAUUUUUAUUCCACUAAGAAAGCUCUGAGUUUGUUUUCAUGUGAUGAUAAAUGUUUCUGUCAUCUUGUUACAUGGGAGACAAACUUUACUGAAGGGUGUCAGAUUCAAGUUCAUGUAUCUUCUAGCUGAAGCAGUGGCAUGGCAAUACUCUAUAAAGCCAGGUUUAGUCACCACUUAAAGGACUGGCCUGGAUUAUACUACUGAUGACUCAGUGUAUCAGAUUCAGCUCUGUAUCUGCCCGAGAUCCGAUCCCAGCAAGGAAGUGGGUUGUAAGCAGCAGGAAGCUGUAAUCCAUGACCUGGCCUUCUGUACAAAUCGUACUUGUCUACAGAGUGCACUUGAUGAACUGUGUUGUAGACUUCUAUACAAGCAACUGUUCAGGGCCCUGUUAGCUUUCCUCAGUUACUGUCUUAUGUUAACUAUACAUGCUUACUUCUUGUGCUAACCUACCAAGUACUUCUGAUACUCUUACAGUAUAAUAUUUUGUAUUAAAAUGGCAGUCUUGCAUUUCUGUCAGUAAGAAAAAGUAUGAACACUAUAGGAUUAUUCUGAGGUUCCCCAAAAUCAUUUUGCGACAAGAUUCUACCUGUCAGGACCUCUCUGUUUGCAUCUAUGUUUUCUGACAUCUUAACUUACAUGAAAUGUUAUAAUCAGUUUGACAAUUAAUGAAAUAUAAGCAUCUACCAUGCCAUGUAGUUCCCCUUGGUGUCAAGGUCCCUUUGUGAGGGUCACGUAGGUAUCAAGAUGACUGGUUAAUGAGGUUACCUGGCAUUCAAGGUCUUCUGUUAAUGAGGGUCACGUAGGUAUCAAGAUGACUGGUUAAUGAGGUUACCUGGCAUUCAAGGUCUUCUGUUAAUGAGGGUCACGUAGGUAUCAAGAUGACUGGUUAAUGAGGUUACCUGGCAUUCAAGGUCUUCUGUUAAUGAGGGUCACGUAGGUAUCAAGAUGACUGGUUAAUGAUGUUACCUGGCAUUCAAGGUCUUCUGUUAAUGAGGGUCACGUAGGUAUCAAGAUGACUGGUUAAUGAUGUUACCUGGCAUUCAAGGUCUUCUGUUAAUGAGGGUCAUGUAGGUAUCAAGAUGACUGGUUAAUGAUGUUACCUGGCAUUCAAGGUCUUCUGUUAAUGAGGGUCACGUAGGUAUCAAGAUGACUGGUUAAUGAUGUUACCUGGCAUUCAUGGUCUUCUGUUAAUGAGGGUCACGUAGGUAUCAAGAUGACUGAUUAAUGAUGUUACCUGGCAUUCAUGGUCUUCUGUUAAUGAGGGUCACGUAGGUAUCAAGAUGACUGGUUGAUGAGGUUACCUGGCAUUCAAGGUCUUCUGUUAAUGAGGGUCACGUAGGUAUCAAGAUGACUGGUUGAUGAUGUUACCUGGCAUUCAAGGUCUUCUGUUAAUGAAGGUCACGUAGGUAUCAAGAUGACUGGUUAAUGAUGUUACCUGGCAUUCAAGGUCUUCUGUUAAUGAGGGUCACGUAGGUAUCAAGAUGACUGGUUAAUGAUGUUACCUGGCAUUCAAGGUCUUCUGUUAAUGAGGGUCACGUGGGUAUCAAGAUGACUGGUUAAUGAUGUUACCUGGCAUUCAAGGUCUUCUGUUAAUGAGGGUCACGUAGGUAUCAAGAUGACUGGUUAAUGAUGUUACCUGGCAUUCAAGGUCUUCUGUUAAUGAGGGUCACGAGGGUAUCAAGAUGACUGAUUAAUGAUGUUACCUGGCAUUCAAGGUCUUCUGUUAAUGAGGGUCACGUAGGUAUCAAGAUGACUGAUUAAUGAUGUUACCUGGCAUUCAAGGUCUUCUGUUAAUGAGGGUCACGUAGGUAUCAAGAUGACUGAUUAAUGAUGUUACCUGGCAUUCAAGGUCUUCUGUUAAUGAGGGUCACGUAGGUAUCAAGAUGACUGGUUAAUGAUGUUACCUGGCAUUCAAGGUCUUCUGUUAAUGAGGGUCACGUAGGUAUCAAGAUGACUGGUUAAUGAUGUUACCUGGCAUUCAAGGUCUUCUGUUAAUGAGGGUCACGUAGGUAUCAAGAUGACUGGUUAAUGAUGUUACCUGGCAUUCAAGGUCUUCUGUUAAUGAGGGUCACGUAGGUAUCGAGGUUUCUGGUAAAUGAGGAUGCGAGAUCACAUGAACAUGUGUCACGUGGACAUCGAGGUCUCAUUGGCCGCCAUUAUACUAGGGUCAGAAUUCAUCCAAAGUCAUAUCUGUUUCUCACUUUCUUUUCUGGAACAUUAUUCAAGAAAAUAAUGAAUGCCUCCAAACUCGAAAUUGCCCAAACUCACAUCAAUUUUAAUUCAAGUCCCAGUGAUUUUAGAAUAUAAUAAACAGUGCUUGCUACCAAAGGAAGGAUGGUGGUGGUUCGAUGCUCUGCAUCAGUCAUAUUGUUACAUAAUGUUUUAGUUAGAUAACAGCUGUCAUUGUGUGUCUGUAAACAAUGAAAUGUUUUUAUCUGUGUGGAGUGUAUAAUUAAACAUACCUGUUGUGUCCAAAUGAUAAAUCUUGCUUCAGUUAGAUGCACAGCAAGCAGUUGUUGUCGUGUAGGCGCAUUUUGCCAUGCAGUUAGGUCACAUAUUGUUCUACACAAUUUGCUCACAGAAUGUGUUCAAUGUCUUAUCGAAUGGUAGUAUAUACAGAUUAUAUGCCAAUGUUAUAUAUGUGUAUCACUACAAUGAAUGAUUUCAUAAUAAUGUAUCAAUAACAAUGUCCUGCCAUUUUGCAUUAAUGGGUCAUAUAUAUGCCAAAUUUUACAUAGUGAUUUUUUUGCUCCAAAGACUUAUUGUCACCUGUGAUUUUUCUUUUGAAUGUUAUUUGAUUAUCAUUUGCAUAAUUUUUACACAAAUCAGUUGAUCUCAUCAACAGUAAUCAUGAUUUUAAUAUUGACAUAAUCAGUAUUUCAUGUCGUCCCACAGUGAUUGCGUUAUCAUCAAGUGCAGUUGCCAUGACAUCAGUAUUAUAUGUUCUUACCUGUAACUGAUAUGCAAUCAGCCAAAGAUGUUAUCUGUGACUUAUGAAAUUUGUUUCAUAUAUGAUUGUUACAUUUUAUAAAUUUUGUCAAAUUGUGCUGAUUAAAGUGCCAAAGUCAA
rnacentral:lncRNA from 1 species